rnacentral:misc_RNA from 1 species
AGAAAUCGUGAAACGUAAUAGACUCUUAUUACCUUGACCAUAUUUUUAUCUUCCAUCUCUAUUUUGCCAAUUUGUUUAUACAACAUAGAAUAAUAUAUAUCUUUGUUUAAUCCAUGUCAAUAUAUAUAUUAUUUUUUAUAUUAUUUGAAUGUUUUAUUCAAAUAAUAUAAACAUUUAAAAAAUAAAUUCAAGGUUUAAAGUAUAAAAUAAAAACCCUGGCAAUAACUUACUCUCCCGCGAACUCGCAGUACCAUCAGCGAAUAAGAGCUCAAGGUAAUAAGAGUCUAUGGUGGAUGCCUAGGAGCUUUAAGGCGAAGAAGGUCGACUUUAAACCUUGCAUUUAU